AAAUUAGGAAGGACUUUCAGAAACAUCAAGUUUCCAAAUGAUGCAUUUAUACACUUUAUUCAGGCCUGCCCUUGUCAGGCAGUUAUUCUUUAGCUAAAAGCAACUGUCUUUAAAGACACAGAAAGCCGCCUUCGGUAUCAAAACCUCAUUCAGACUGCGUUAUUCCCUAAAGCCAUUCUUAACCUCGAUAAUGCACGUAUCAAGUCUAUAAUGUUAUAUGCUGUUGAGAUCUGAGGCAAACAUCACUCAAAUAACAAUUGCCAUGUUGAAAUAUCAACAUAUAGAAACGCUUUGUAAAAGCAUUGAUCCUUAGUGCACACAGCCAAUGUCUUCACGGCGAGACCGAAAGAAAAUUUAUUUCAAACUGUUGCCACAAUUUGUCCAAGCUUUUGCCAAUUAGUCGAUCACCAAAAGUCUACGUUUCACAUUUUAAAUCACAAACCCCACCUAUUUCGCAGAGCGCAGGACAGUGAAGAAGUGAAACCUAAUGACGGUUGAUGAUUGACAGGACGCGUGUGAACCUGACAUCUUGCUAUAUUGCCGCUCCCCCUUUUCCGCUAUGGAAUAACCCAUGGUCGCUGACCAAUAAGCUGCCUAGUAUUCAUAUUGCGUAAUGCAGAUGAAACGUAAACCAAGCUGCUUAUGAGAACAACAGUCAUUUCGCUGCCAGACAGAGGGGAGACAACACAUGUCUGAGACUGGUCUCUGAUGAUUAAUAGCAACUGCCCCCACGAAGUCAACGCAUUCCCCUGCACUUCGAACGCAGGACAGUGAAGAAGUGAAACCUAAUGACGGUUGAUGAUUGACAGGACGCGUGUGAACCUGACAUCUUGCUAUAUUGCCGGUUAAUUGAAAACGUGACAAACCCUGAUUUUUCCGAUGACCCCGAUAACCCGAUGACCCCGGGGUAGAGAAAGCUGACAUAGCUUGACACAACGAUCUACUAACGUUAGGGUGUUCUUUCUACGUGUGUUUUACACAUGAUACUAGUAUGUCGCUGUGGCUUUAAUAUAGCAUGCCCGCAGUCCCCGCCACGACCAAUGGAAUGUUUGGAGAAUAUAUGUCCAAGCUUUCAAGUUUGGUGUGAUUUUUUUUUUACAUGUUGGCCCGUUGUUUAAUACU